GGUAGCGUGGUGUAAAUGGUUUGAGUGCUGGACUAUGACUCUGGAGAGCAGGGUUCGAUUCCCUGCUUGAGCA